GGGGGGGGGGGGGGGGGGGGGGGGGGGGGGGGGGUCGGGGGGGGGGGGGGGGGGCUUGCUGCGCGGGGGGUAGCGGCGGGCGGGGGGGUAACACGUGGAUAACCUGCCUAUAAGACGGGGAUAACUUCGGGGAACCGGGGCUAAUACCGGAUGAUAUUUUGAACCGCAUGGUUCAGAAGUGAAAGACGGUCUUGCUGUCACUUAUAGAUGGAUCCGCGCUGCAUUAGCUAGUUGGUAAGGUAACGGCUUACCAAGGCAACGAUGCAUAGCCGACCUGAGAGGGUGAUCGGCCACCCUGGAACUGAGACACGGUCCAGACUCCUACGGGAGGCAGCAGUAGGGAAUCUUCCGCAAUGGGCGAAAGCCUGACGGAGCAACGCCGCGUGAGUGAUGAAGGUCUUCGGAUCGUAAAACUCUGUUAUUAGGGAAGAACAUAUGUGUAAGUAACUGUGCACAUCUUGACGGUACCUAAUCAGAAAGCCACGGCUAACUACGUG
rnacentral:rRNA from 1 species